AUUCCUCCAACCCAUUUAAAGCAUAAAGAUACUUGCAAGAGUGAUUAUGGAAAAACAGGUUUAUGCACGGCAUUCUUGCAGGACAAAAUACUUGGCACAUGUGAACACCUUAUUAACGGAUGUGCAAAAGACAUUCAUUCAAACCACUCAUUUUGCAUGGCUAUUGUCCAUUGACACGAAUAUCAAAAUGUGUAGGAAGCUAGUUUUACAAUUGUGUAAUACAUGGUUAGAGAGGAGGGGUGGGUUUGAAGUUAGGUCUAUCUUUAUUCCAUUCACCAAAUUAGAUGUUUGCUUAGGUUUAGGGGUUAGGGUUAAUGGAGAGAUGUUUAAGUUGUUCAAAGAGGAAGUUGAUUGUCAUACUAGGAGACUCUUUGGCACAAAUGAUGUAAGUGUAGAUAAUGUUUAUGAACAACUUCAAAACUGUAUAAAAGGGGGUGAAGUGGCUGAUGUUUGUAGGUUAUAUUUAUUGUUAGGCUUGAGUGAGUUUUUGUUUCCAAAUAGAGGUGGAAAAGUUCAUUUAGGUUUAUUUGAAAAUUAUUAGAUGAUUUAUCAUGUAUUGGAAAGUAUAAUUGGGGGGUGUUAUUUAUGAGUAUUUGGUUUCUAGUUUGUGUGAUGCUGCAUUGCGUGUAGGGAACACACAAAAAAGAUCACACUGUCAUGUGGAUGGUUGUAUAUUUGCAUUACAGGUACGUUUUGAUGUUAGUUACAAAAUAUAUUGUAAU